rnacentral:rRNA from 1 species
UUAGUGGCGGACGGGUGAGUAACGCGUGGAAAACCUGCCGUAUACUGGGGGAUAACACUUAGAAAUAGGUGCUAAUACCGCAUAAGCGCACAGCUUCGCAUGAAGCGGUGUGAAAAACUCUGGUGGUAUACGAUGGUUCCGCGUCUGAUUAGCUAGUUGGUGGGGUAAUGGCCUACCAAGGCAACGAUCAGUAGCCGGCCUGAGGGGGUGAACGGCCACAUUGGGACUGAGACGCGGCCCAAACUCCUACGGGAGGCAGCAG